UACGGGGGGGGCAAGCGUUGUUCGGAAUUACUGGGCGUAAAGGGCUCGUAGGUGGCCAACUAAGUCAGACGUGAAAUCCCUCGGAUUAACCGGGGAACUGCGUCUGAUACUGGACGGCUUGAGUUCGGGAGAGGGAUGCGGAAUUCCAGGUGUAGCGGUGAAAUGCGUAGAUAUCUGGAGGAACACCGGUGGCGAAGGCGGCAUCCUGGACCGACACUGACACUGAGGAGCGAAAGCCAGGGGAGCAAACGGG
rnacentral:rRNA from 1 species